CAUCUGCCGGCUCGUUACCUACCU
rnacentral:siRNA from 1 species